UAAACCACAUGAGUAAUUCGACCAGUCGCAAAUCGCAUUAUAACUGCCUUAUUAGAAUGUUUAUGAAACAUGUUGGCUGAAAAUACUUGACUUUCCUUCCACGCCUGAGACAUCGCCAACAGCGCGCAGAGCCUCGGACGCCGAACUUUCCUUUUGCAGCUGGGGGAAAAUCAGUCGUCGAGACGCUCCGUCUCAAAGCGCCGCUUUCUCAUCUGGUGCCAUGCAUCGUCGGCCGCCGCUCGACGUCAUACUCCGAAUGACACAUGUUAAUCAUGUCCAAUUGGUGGACAUGUGUCGUUGCUCGGUUCACGGGCCUAUCAACACGACUCUACGAUGAUCGCUUACAAUACGGUCUCUGCAACUGUUGUAUGUUGCUUCGCGCGCGAGAAAUUAGAAAAUACACAAAAAUCGCAACAAGGAAUUGAUAACAUGUGAACGAUAACGAGACUCGAAACUCUGUUGAAUUUUUACAUAGUGUAUUUAUAGUGUUUCAUAUUUAUAGUGUUUCAUCUGGGAAAUAUCUACUUGUUAUUGUUAUGAUAGUGCUUUUAUUGUAUUGUUACCGGAUGUUCUAAGUUUAUUUGAGUUGGAGGUCUUUGUUAUUUAUACUACAAACUUUUUUAUAAUGCUACAAUUGAAAUAGCAAAAAAGCAGUAUUCUAAAAUAGGGUAGUAGAAAAUAUUGAUUCGCAAAAGUUGAAAACUUUGCCGAAUCUUCACCUUUUUUCGACCGUAUGGUUCUCCUCUCACUUCUUCGCACAAAUUAGAUAACAGUUUAAACAUAGUUCAAAUAAUACUUACACAGCUUUAAAAAUAUACCUUCCAAA
rnacentral:lncRNA from 1 species